UCCCCCGUUCCCCAAUCUCUCGUCGACGGUGGUAGCUGCCCAGAUAGGCAGAUCCGGUGCUUCCAUGGUGGACGACGGUUACUCCCACGGCACAUACUCCCUGCCCCCUGCCCUCCUACUACGGCAUCUAGGUCGCUUGGUUCCGCCCCCAGGCCACCACAUCAUCACGCUGCACAUCAUCGUCAGCGACCGGGCAGCCGCCGCCACGGUGUCCUCGUCCCUGGUGGCCGCGGAUAUCCCGCCCGCUCAACAUGUUCCUACAUCCGGAGGCAAGCUAGUAGUGAUCUAGUCCGUGGUGAUGCUGCCACUCCUCCCCGUUGCUCCUAGAUCCAGCAAUAGCUCACCGGAGGCAAGCCGGUGGUGUUCGAUCUCCUCGCCUCCUUCGCCUCGCAGGAUCAGAAACAAAGUCCGCUCCGUUUUUCCCACUUCCCUCCCCUCUCUCCCUCCUGUAGAUUACUCUCUAAUGGCUUCUCCCCUCUCCUGUGACGCUUAGGAUGAUGCUUAGUGCUAUGGCUUAAUUCUGGUAUGCUACCCAAGAACACAUGUGUCUGAAGAUUGCACAUUGUCAACAUUGGUCAUUGUAGCUCAUAUUUUAUACUGUGCUGUGUUUAGGAAGAGGCAUAUCUAUCUAAUGAAAAUUUACACAUAUGUACUGUAUAUGCACAUGUUGGAUUUUGUUCAGAAUUUGUUGAUACUUCUAAAUAUGCAUCUCGUACUUCCCCCAAAAAAAGGGGUUCAAUGGAGGUUUAGCUCCAAAGCGCCUCGCCCGUGGUUUGAAUUAUAUCUGAUGAAACGGUCAAGCCCACUGCUUUUAUUUUCACAGGAGUGCAGAGAGAGUCGGAGCAGAAACACAUGAACAGAGUAGAUUUAGUGAGAGGCUGAUAAAGCUGAAUAUUUAGCAUGCAUAUACGGAUGUCGUGUGGUGUGUCAAAAAAUAGUAUGGGAAUACAUUCUGGCGAGAUGAUGUUUCAGCCUUAGCUUGUGAUACAGGAACAUCCUAUAGUGGCUCUCGUUGCCUCGCGAUGUUAUAAAGGUAUAUAUGCUUGUGAUACAGCCACACAUGAACAUCCUAUAGUGGCUCUCGUUGUCCUGGUGAAAUUAGUUCAGAAGUUUAUGUUAAUAUUUUGUAGUCUGUCUGUACAUGUAAGAUUAUCGGUGCCCAAAAUAUUAGUAUCAGACAACAUCAAAGCUUGGAGGUCAAAUUGUGGUCAGCUCAAAACCGCGCUUACAUCCAUGAACUAAUUUAAUAUAUCUACCAGCAUGUUCAUGUGUUGUUUUAGAUUUUUAAAUGUCGAAUUCACCUGACCAAAAUAGUUAGAGAAUAGUGUACAUAUUUCACCAAGAGGUUGAAGGAUAUCAUUCUUGUUUUCAGUUUGCAUUCAUUGUAACCUUCCGCUUGUAAAAUAAGACUCUCGUUGUCUGUACCUUCUAAUUUGCAACCUUGCAAUUGGAGAUGUCUUCUUCCAGAGAAAAAAAGUAGUUGCCCUUGUUUGCCGAAAAAUAUUUUUGUCAAUGAAUAUUUGACCUGAGGAUCAACCUAACUUGGUAAUUUCAUGAUUUCCAAUAUGGAAAAGUUAGCUUCUAUUUUGCCUUCUGCUCUUUCUGGGUGCACAUUAUUUUGGCCGCAUUAGAAUGAGCAGCCAAUUGUUGUGCGCUGCCAUUUUGUUCACUGGUAGCAGUAAACUGUUUGUUCCACAGACCACAACAAAAGAAAAACUACAGUUCCUUGGAUCACUGCGAUGUUAUUUGGGCACCACAUGAGCACAUUCUGAUUGGAGCCAGGUUAAUCGAGCCUGGAGUCAAAAUAAAAUAAAAUCAAUGACAGUGGUAGAAUCACUACAACCACGCAGAUGAACUGGUGAAAAUAUAACAUUUUGAUGAGAUUUUGGAUACUAGAGCAAUUGAAUUGUCAAAGUCUGUUGCACUUUGAUUGGUUCCCACAACAUGAAAUGGUUUACGACCACUCUUUCUCGGUCAUCUUGUCCAUUUUUAUUUCCUGUGUUGUCGUGGUUUUCUUGUUGCUAUUCCGAAGUAAUAUAAUGCAUGCCAUCAUUUUGUUUUAAAACUAUUGGAUUAUAAUAAUAAUCUGAAUCUGCAGGACAGGGAAAAAAAUUGUUCGCUGCCAUUUGUUCUUGUUCCUAUCUCUGCUUUUAAGUAGUCCUUGAAACUUGUAAUCUGAUGAUCUGAGGUAUAUGGAUGGUUGUUCAAGCUUUCAGCUAUGUUAAAAUUUUAUAAAAGUACCUGAUCAAAAAAAUAUGCAAUCCCAGUGUGUUUGCAAAUAAUAUUGCUAGAUAUUUUUGCCCAGUGGAGUAUCUGAACAAAAAUUAUUGAGCUCUUUUCAGUAAAAUCCCAAGGUUUAUAUGAUUGAUGUCUAAUAUGAUUCUGCAUUUUGCAUGUUAGCUUAAGUUAAUUUAUCUGAACUUUAUAUGUAAAUGUUUUUGUUGCCUACUUCUGCCAUUGGUUGCCAGUCUCACCAUAUGAACAGUAUGCACUAGUGUUUUUUGUACGAGAUAAAUAAUGUUUUAUAAUCUAUUUCAUUAUUAGUAGGUUAGGAUGAGCAACAAAAUAGCUGGCGGCUCUGUGAGUUCCAGCAUAGAAGCAAACUUUAGGUUGUGUUUUUGGAUGAAUUUGAUUCAUCUCUAUUUUCCUUCCAUGUGGUAUGUGCAGCACACACUUAGAUGGCAUUGUUGAUGCAUAUUCAUUCGAUUAGAUCAUGAGUAAUAAGAUUAUGAAUGCUUGACACUUGUACGGACCUGUGCUAACUGAAUUUUUAUUUGUUAUUAGGUCUGAUCUCUCCCAGCACAAGAAGCUCGAUAAGCACGCUAGUAAUGGAGGCUUUUUUGUUGUGUACCAUCAAGUAGCAAAAGUUGAUGCAAUUUUUACUGGCAAUGCUUGCUGAAACGGCGAUUAUUUUGGUCCUUCAUAAUUAGUCUUGCAUGAGAUGUAGCAAAAACGAUCCUCUCAUGAUAUGUUACACUUGAUAAGAUAUGUAUGUGCGUCUCUUCUGUUAUGUUCGGUCUGGGAUCAUGCAAUUUCAAAUGUAUGUUUCGUUAUGAUUUCAAGUGGAUGGAUAAUGUUCUCAUGUACUCUAAUAUUUGUGAUGAUGUCCACCUACUUUUAGUGACCAACAUGUUUGGAUUUCUUGCAUGAUUUCUGAUGUAGCAGAAGUUAGUAAUGAAACCAAAUAUACAUGAGUUCUCGUACAGUACAUAUAUGUGCAUUUUUUUGUGUAAACUUAAUAGGACAAGGGCACCCUUACAGGUCUGAAACAGUGUCUUAUUUAGGAAGGACAAAUUGAUUGAUAUAUGAGAGAUUUGAGG
rnacentral:lncRNA from 1 species